rnacentral:rRNA from 1 species
AGUGAACGCUGGCGGUAGGCCUAACACAUGCAAGUCGAACGGCAGCACAGUAGGAUCUUGCUCUUACGGGUGGCGAGUGGCGGACGGGUGAGGAAUACAUCGGAAUCUACUUUUUCGUGGGGGCUAACGUAGGUAAACUUACGCUAAUACCGCAUACGACCUACGGUUGAAAGCAGGGGAUCUUCUGACCUUUCGCGAUAGAAUGAGCCUAUGUCGGAUUAGCUAGUUGGCGGGGUAAAGGCCCACCAAGGCGACGAUCCGUAGCUGGUCUGAGAGGAUGAUCAGCCACACUGGAACUGAGACACGGUCCAGACUCCUACGGGAGGCAGCAGUGGGGAAUAUUGGACAAGGGGCGCAAGCCUGAUCCAGCCAUACCGCGUGGGUGAAGAAGGCCUUCGGGUUGUAAAGCCCUUUUGUUGGGAAAGAAAAGCAGCAGGUUAAUACCCCGCUGUUCUGACGGUACCCAAAGAAUAAGCACCGGCUAACUUCGUG